UACGAAGGGGGCUAGCGUUGCUCGGAAUCACUGGGCGUAAAGCGCACGUAGGCGGACUCUUAAGUCGGUGGUGAAAUCCUGGAGCUCAACUCCAGAACUGCCUUCGAUACUGAGAGUCUCGAGUCCGGGAGAGGUGAGUGGAACUGCGAGUGUAGAGGUGAAAUUCGUAGAUAUUAGGAAGAACACCCGUGGCGAAAGCGGCUCUCUGGAACGGUACUGACGCUGAGACGCGAAAGCGUGGGGAGCGAACAGG
rnacentral:rRNA from 1 species